rnacentral:sRNA from 1 species
CAAGUUGAUCUUUACCCAUCUCCUUGAACCACUCCGGAAAAUUGGCCUUCAUCUUAGUCUCGGUUUCCCAAGUGUAUUCUUCACGGCCUCCACAAUUCCACAAGAUUUUUAACAAAUCCAUUGAUUUCCCCCGAGUCCCUUUCUUCAUUUGGUCCAUGAUCCGUACCGGCCAUGCUUCCACCGUCAUGUUCUCCUUUAACCCAGGAGGUACAUCUUCCAUGCUUUCUUCUUGUUCACUUAAGCACUUCCGUAGUUGUGAUACAUGAAAGACAUUGUGAAACGCGUCUAGUUUUGGAGGAAGGUCAAGUUUGUAUGCCACCGCCCCUACUCGUUCGAUCACUUUGUACG